AUGGAGAGCAGACCUUCUUGGCAAAAUACGUACCUAGUGAAUCUCAUUUCCUCUGGUUUUGAUUCCAACCCCUCGGUCCUUCCCAUGGAGAGCUACUUCUACAAUGCAGCAUUUGCAUCUUAUAUGGAUCACUUCUUGACCUGCACAACUUUCUGAUUUGAUGAGUUCAACAGAAACCAACUCAAGGUAAGCAAUUCAGGAUGCAUAGCUACUUGGUUUGUAUAUGUUGAGUGCUAACUUUAAUAGAGAGGGAAGGGAGUAGGU
rnacentral:lncRNA from 13 species